rnacentral:lncRNA from 1 species
GGUCGAUUUGGAAUGACAGCUCCGGGUAUGAAGUCAAUUUGAUGUUUAAUGCCUCGAAUAGGCGGCAAUCCACUUGGUGCAUCCUCCAGAAAUACAUCGUCGAAUUCCUGCAACAAAGACUUAGCCAAACUAGGGAGGGGUGGGUUAGUUUCCUCAAAAUUGAGGAGUGAUUCCUUAUAAACGAAUAAGAUCAUAUCUUUUCUCUCAACUACCGCCCUCCUCAAAUCACUCUCUUUUGCAAAG